UUGUGGCAUUUCUACUCUUUCUCAAUCCCCAAUGCUUGGCUUCCAUAAGCAGAUGGAUAACCGCAUCAAGCUCUUGGAAGAGAUUCUGUCUUUUCGUAUGCAGGGCGUUGAGUUCGAUAAUGGUGAUAUGUAUGUUGACGGCCAUAAGGCUGCUUCUGACGUUCGUGAUGAGUUUGUAUCUGUUACUGAGAAGUUAAUGGAUGAAUUGGCACAAUGCUACAAUGUGCUCCCCCAACUUGAUAUUAAUAACACUAUAGACCACCGCCCCGAAGGGGACGAAAAAUGGUUUUUAGAGAACGAGAAGACGGUUACGCAGUUUUGCCGCAAGCUGGCUGCUGAACGCCCUCUUAAGGAUAUU
rnacentral:rRNA from 1 species